GGGCCCUUAGCUCAGACGGUUAGAGCACCUGACUCAUAAUCAGGUGGUCGUUGGUUCAAAUCCAACAGGGCCCACCA
rnacentral:tRNA from 1 species